rnacentral:rRNA from 1 species
GACAGAGGGUGCAAACGUUGUUCGGAAUUACUGGGCGUAAAGCGCGUGUAGGCGGCCAUCUAAGUCGGGCGUGAAAUCCCACGGCUCAACCGUGGAAGUGCACUCGAAACUGGAUGGCUAGAGUCCUGGAGAGGACGGUGGAAUGCUUGGUGUAGAGGUGAAAUGCGUAGAUAUCAGGAGGAACACCGGUGGUGUAAACGGCUUUCUGGACCAUAACUGACGCUGAGGCACGAAAGCGUGGGUAGCAAACAGG